rnacentral:lncRNA from 1 species
CCUAAUCAAAGAAGAUGAGAACUAAAGAAUGGGCAUUUAGAGGAGGGGACACAAGGGUAAAAGGUCUAUAUAUUUGGCUCACUUCCUCUCUCAGGUACCUUUUGGUGGUGGAGAAUUGGUUGGUGGCAAAGUGUGGGCCUUUUGGCAUCUUGACAUGGCUACAAGCUAUUUCCCGGAUCAGUGGGUAAGAAAUUUGCUGCCUCCUGGAAUCCAGAGACUGAACUCCUUGUGGAAGAUGCCAUGGAGAUGCCCAUAGAGACCACAUGUUACUCCAG